AAGCCGGAUAGGUAAAUAAUUCAUACGCUUUGUCGAGCGCUAGGAAGCAAGUACCGCUGAUUCACAACAGUAGAACUAUAACUUAGAUCAAGAGCCUCCAUCCCAACACAUUGAGCAACAUGGCAGAGUCAGGAGAGCAAGUGGAGGUUGGUCAGCAGGAGCUAGAAGAAGAUGAGGAUGAUGAGGUCAACCCAAAUUACAAGGCUCCUGAGCAAAAGUCCAUGAAGGAAAUUUUAGAGGCAGACAAAGAUGAUGAGAGUUUGGUGAACUACAAGAAACAGUUGAUGGGGGAGAACACUCAAGACCUAGUUAUUGAUCCAUCUAUAGAGGCUAAGGUAAUCCUGAAGACACUGGAACUUCGUUUUGAAGACGCACCAGAUGAUAAGCAAUCAAUGGAUCUAACAGGGGACCUGUCAACCUUGAAGGAAAAAAAGUUUGAAAUAGUUGAGGGCAGACCAUACAGAAUUGCUAUUUUGUUUAAUGUCCAAAGGGAUAUUGUGACAGGUUUAAAAUAUAGCCAUAUUUGCAAGAGGAAAGGCGUAAAAGUGGAUAAGAAGCUGUUGAUGAUGGGAAGUUAUGGCCCAAAACAUGAGCCGCAUUGCUUUCAAAGCGCUGUGGAGGACACGCCCUCAGGAUUAUUAGCUCGCGGAACAUACAACGUGAAAAGCACAUUUUUCGACGAUGACAAGCAUAAAUACACUGAAUUUGACUGGAAGUUUGAAAUUGUAAAGAAAAAGUAAGAGUAUCUGAACACCUGAACACUUCCAUCGGGAGGUCACGGUUCUAUUUUGUCUGUCGGAUACAGCUGUCAUUUCCUGCUUCAAUCAUGAUCACCUCAUGAUCACCUACCAACACUUGUCACAUGAUCAGUGGUCUGUAUGAAAUUCAAUGGCUUGAUAAAACUGUACGAGUAAUCUCCCUUGCAUUUUGACUGGGUAUAUCAAUCGCAUCAAAAGAUAGGCCUGCAAGGAUUGCAUUUGAAAUGAAGGACAAGAAGUUGACUAUUACAUAUUAACAUUGCUGCUGUUGCAAAAGAUUAUAUUAGGAAAUGUUCAGACUAGAGAAAAUACAGGCAGACUAGUUUGUUAUUAAUGCUUGCAAUGUUUUGAACAAAAAGUAAAGAUUAAAAGUAAAUUUAAGUAUGUAUUGAGCUUCAUUCUUAAUUCCGCUGAAUACUUGAGGUGUUUGGAGGUGUCAUAUUUGUCUAAGAUGUUUUUUAAGGAACUCAACAAAAUGUUAGAAGUGGUAUCCUGAUUAUAAUGAGAUAACCAUGUUCCUGGGUGGUUUUAACAUACACUUGAAUGCAAUAGGUACUUGUAAUUGAAAUUAUUAAGGGAAAUUAGAAUAAUUUUGGAUAAAAAGAAUUAAUCUUUAGUUUCUGAACAGGACAAUCUUUGGAAAAAGAUUGCUGUGGUGGACAUCUGUCUCUAUUCAUUUUGAAUUUUGUACGCCCCAGCUAUUUUUUAUUCUUUUUUGGUGGGGGUGGGGGGCAGGGGGGUAUAUAAUGUAAUCUUGACCUUACAAUCACAACCUGUCCUGUCCCCUCCCGUUCUGUCAAGAUUCAUUGUCAUGACACUACAAUUUCUUCUCAACAGACUCAAAAUUUAUACAGAGGUCAUGUAUGAGAAUAGCCUGUCCCAUUCUGUCCCGAUUUAUAAAAAAUCUUUAACAAAGUUUACACAAAGGUCAACUAUGGGAAUACCUGAGGGUCCCAGGUCUAUACGAAAGGUCACUGUUGCUUUUUAAAUGUCAACCACAAAACCAAGGAGCAUUCAUACAUUUUUCUUGUUCUAGUGAAUUGACCUUGAUUUCCUUUAAGGUAAUAAUAUAUAAAAGGGGGCGAAUUUGUUAAAACCCUCCAACAACUUCUUCUGAAGAACUGAAUGGUCUAGAGUAAUGACAAUUGGCAUAUAGCUUGCUUGAAUGAAAUUCUACAAGUUUGUGAAAAGAAUUGAUCUUGAUCUAUAUUCAAGGUCACAUGUAUCUUAUUUGUUGAAACAAAUGUCAAAUUCCUUCUUCUGAUGAAGCAAAAAUGUCUAGAGUAAUGAUAUUUGUUCAAUAGGUUCUUAGAAUGGAGUGCUACGCAAAUUGCGGAGAGAAAAACCUUGACCUAUUGAAGGUCACUGAGGUUAAAUUUGUUGAUAUUUGGUUGAGUGUACUACCAUUACAGAGACAUGUCUCGGGUAUAAUUAAUUGAUAGGUAUAUAUUUGCAUUGGUCACUAUAUUCACAUGUUAUGUUGUAUGGCACAUUUGCUUCUGUCCGAUUUCAACUUCAGAUAUUAAAUUGGUAUCCAUAAUUUUUGGCAUGCACAUUGACAUUAUCGGCUAUAUAUAUUGGCGAUAAAAUUGAUAAUGUGGGCUUAUGAAAUGCAAUAGUCAAUUUCGAGAAACUAAAGAUUAAUUCAUGUUGUCUUAAUAUCAUAAAUUCUUGUUGUUUUAUACACAUGUAUGUACAAUGGAGUAUAAGUAAGUAUUUACAAUAAGAAUUAUUCUUGAGUACCAAUAAAAGAUUUUGAAAUAAAAUUUAAAGGCUAGAACCCAUGGUAUUGAAGCGUGAAUGAAAAGAUAUGCUGUCUUGUUUAGUCAUGAAUAUUAAUUUGUGUGUUGACAAAUAUUUUUUGACUUUACUAAGCUUUAUGUAGUCGCCCUAAAGUGCUUUUAUAUGUAGAUGCUUAUACUGCCCAAUAUACAUAUAAUCUCCGAGUCCUACCUGUACAUGUAAUUCUACUGUUGAAGUUUUGUUCUGUUUUCUAUGCUAUACAUAACACUUAUUAUAAUAACUUCAUUAAUAUGCAAUAAAUUUAUGAUUUAUUUUCUUGAUUUUAGUAGAAGUUUUUGUUGAUUAUAUCUGAACUUGUGUGUAUAUCAGAUUUUAAAAAAACAUUAUUUUUCUUUAUUUUUCAAUUUAGAAUUGUAAAUAAUGGAGUGUGUUGAACAUGUUGUUUCUCAGGGAAGGUUUAAACACAUACAUCCUUCACUGUCAAAUCAGUGUGAUAGAGAAAUUAAAACAAUGAACAUAAGUUCAUGUUAUAUGGGAAAGCUAAAUUGACAAGCAUCCCCCUAUUCCACAAAUAAUGAUUGACUAUCCAAAUAGAAGUUUUACCCUGGAUUCUAAAUAAUAAUAUACUGCUCUAGACUUUCUCUGUUGUGUGUUUUAGAUUAGAUAUUGUAGAACUUGACAAAUUAUAAAGAUGAAAAUAUAGACAAAUGUUACAUGAUUUAAUCUGCAGUUAAAGGGCAUUAAUAGAUCUAAAGAAAAGCUGUAUAUUAUGUGAUAUAACUCUAUAUAACAUCAAGAUUUAGUUGUCCUGUGAAUAUAUACACAAGAACAAGGAAUGUACUUAUGAACAUAUAUCUUUGUAUAGGAAAAACAAGAUCCAAUAUCAAACUUACCCAGACAAACACUAUUACAUUUAAUUGUAAUUAGCUGAUGAAAAUGAAGCUAAGAAUUGGUUGGUAAUGAUAAAUAUUGAUAAAAAUUACGUUUACAAAAAUCAAUGUACUGUAAUGUGGAAAUUAUAAAUACAAAUACAUGUAAUAUAAUGUGGCUAUAAGCUCAACUGGUCCAAAUUAAAGGGCCAACUGAGCUUAUGCUGUGGCACAGCUUUCGUCGCUCAUUCAUCAACUUUUUCUAUAAACCACUUAUAAAGAACCAAGAGACUUAGAGUCAUGAUAUUUGGCUGGUAGCUUUUUUUGACUGUGCCCGACAAAGUUUGCGAACAAAAAAAUGACUUUGCCCUACUUUCAAGGUAAAAUCUGUCAAAAACUUCAAAAACUUCUUCUGAAAAAUCAAAAAUCACUUAUUAUCAUGAUAUUAGGCUGGUAGCUCCGUAAGAUAAAGCCCAACAAAGUUUAUAAGUAAAAAUAACCUGGACCUGUAUUCAAGGUCAUAGGGUCAAAUAUAUCGAAAACUUCAAAUGACUUCUUAAGAAUAAUGGAAUGACCUGGAAUCAUGAUAUUAGGCUGGUAGGUUCCGUGGAAAGAGCCCCAUACAGUUUGAGAAUUGUUUUUUACUUUGGCCUACUUUUAAGAUCAUAGAGGUCAAAUAUGUCAGAAUUGUGGUUAUAAUAUAAACAGAAACAUCUGUACUGUAAACAUGGCAAUAAUAAAUACACUAACUUCUGUUUACAUGGUUAAGAUAAAUACACUAACUACUGUUAACAUGGUUAAGAUAAAUACAAACGUACCGUAAUUGUGGUGAUUAUAAGAACCGAUACACAUGUUCUUUAGGCAUGGUAGUAAUGCAGAUACAAUUGUACUGUCAACAAAAGGCUCAUUCCCUAUUUCUUCAGUUUUAUUUCGUUUCUAUUUUACAGACCAUUACAAACAUGUUUUAUCCUGCUAAUUUAACAAUGUACCAAUGAACAUUUUUCCGAUUGGAAUGCAAAAACAAUUCCUCCACCUAUACAGUCAAGUGAUUAAAGCAUGAUUGCUUAAAUAUUACGUUGAUAUGCAUGUGAUAGACCCCCCAGGGCUGUGUUGUAUCACCAAUAGGUCAGGAAUAAAUCCAGGGAGUUUGAGGAAAGGUUGGCCUUACUAGUUUGUGGAAUAACUUAUCAUAUCGAACAAUUUCAGCAUGAUCACCUUGAAUAUUGCUUCACAAGUAGUUCCCAUAGUGUGGGACACUUUCUAAGGAAUUUCAAUCAGUCACACAAAAUGAAACUAGAUAGUACGUCUAAUAUGUAAUAGGGAUAUUCAUUCUAACCAUUCCAUUAUGCAACAAUUCCAGUUUUUAUAUAUUAAAAAAAAAAAGGUGGGAAUAGAUGAAAACUGAAAAUUAUAUCUUUGGUUUAUUUUUGUUGUAUUUACAAUUUGAAUGCAUUGGUUAAAAUUCAUGAUAACAUUUAUUUUUUGAAAAAAUAUCCUGUAGCAUCAUGGAAUGUGUCUCUGGUAUCACCAAUGUGUUACAUAGUCUUUAUGAACGAAAUCUUUUUUUUAUUAAUUCUUUGAUGUCCAAUGUAUAUAAUUGGUUAGGUGCUAUUAUCACCCACCGGUUCUGUGUGUACCGACUGAUACUACUGAUAUUUCACUUUUUUGUUCGCUUUUUUUUUUAUAAAUUAUACAUGUAUUCAUCCUGAAAACUUCCUUAAUGGAUCACCACAAGAUGACCUUACCCUAUCAAAUAUACAAAACAUUCUUUUUUAAAUGGUUUAUUUCUAUGUUGUAAGAAAUUGAAAAAAGACAACCUGGUGACCAAACUUUACAUACAUAUGUGUAGAUCACAUAGCAGGCCUCAUUGCAGGCAAAUCUAGCAUCUGCAGAUGUGCCAAUUUUUACCCUAAAAAGGCGUUUAAGAUCUUUGUGAUUCAUUAGAUACCAGAGGUUUAUAUUUUUGUGGCCGAGUUCCAUACUCCUAUGUCUGAUGUAGUACUUUCUAUAGUGGGUAUCUACAGCACAGUCUUGUGCUUUAGGGCUAUUAUACAUUGUACCUACGUAAAUUUAAAAGUGAGUAUUUUCUAGGAAGAAGAGAAACAAAGUUAAACAAUGAUAAAAAAUUACUGUCUUAUUUCACACUUUUGUCUGAGGUCAGCAAUCCAAAUGGGGUCAUUAAACUUACCAAGCUAACUCUCGCUGUACAGUAAUGGAAGUCGAGUAAUGUUAAUGAUUUUCAUGUACGUACUCUUCAAAUCUUUCACAUACUUACUCCUGAAGAAAUAUAAUAUUGAUUAUAAUAAACAUAAAAGUGUAAUGACAUUUCAAAUUUGUUUAUUAUUUCCCAAACAUUUAUUUGAAAUUUUACAUAAGAACGCUUGGAUGUUUUUUACCAACCAAUAUGCAUGUAGGUACUAGUUCUAUGUAACAUUGUGAUAUUUACUGAUUAUCUGUUGUGGUCGUCAGUUGUUUACUGACCUUUUGACACAGAUUAACAACGAGGGGUUAAUGUCAUCAAAAAUUAGUGGGGUAGUCUCCCCUUGAUGGUAUAUCUGGUCGUUACAGACAAGACCUUGUCUCUAAAUCUAUUCACCAUUAAUACCUGUAGGCACAUUGAACUGCUUUCUUUUGGCAUACAUAGUCAAUAUAAAUGCCAAAUUCAAACUAAAUUGCACUAAAUUCAAUACUAUAAUAUACCAUUCUUAAAAUAUUUUAAUGUCAUGGAUAAUUGAAAUUUAUUCAUGAAAAAUUAGCAUUUUGAUUAGCAUUAAUCAAACAGACAUCUUCUAGGGAGGGUCAGUAAUAUCUUGCACUACAAUUACAACAUCAUGAUAGUGACUCAACACCUGUGGUAUAUAUAGCUGAUGUGAAUGUCCGCUGAGUUUUGGUAGGGUUAUAUAGUUGCAAUUCCAUAAAGAAGUAAAUAAAUUGCCAAUGUCUUGCCUGAUGAUGGAUGAUAUAGAAAUUGUUUUGUAUAUGAAUCUCACCCUGUAUUAUGACAAUUGAGGUGAUAACAGUUAACAUACCACCUAUACAAAGAAAGUAUGGUAGUACUUGAUUGUUUGUCCUGCAGCUUCAAACAUAAGGACUUACAUGUUAUGUGGAAACCUUUUGUCAUUGAAAGGGAUUCAGGCUGUGGUAGAACCAGUCGCAGGACAAAAUCUCCUGAGAACUGAUACAGGUUAUCAUAGAGUAACAGUCGCCACACAUAAUCUGCUGAGUGGUUGGUCUAUCUUCAUAGCAGGUCCAUCCACCAGUGAUGUGUGGUGUUCAUAAAAAUAAAGUUCAUUUCAAGUAUAUGUGCUAAGAUUUAAUAAAUAAAAACUAAAAACAUCAAAUUUUAUUUUGUUCAGUCAAAGAAGAAGUUUGCUUUAUAGUGCCAUAGUCUUCCUUCAAUAUGAUGGGAUUGAUAUUCCCCAUUAUCACUACUGGAAAAAUGAUAAUACUGAUAAAUAAAUUAGUCAUACUGGAAUUAAUAACAAAAAUACCAGUAAAAUGAUAAAACUUGUGUUAAGGAUAAUACUAGUAUAAACGAUAAUACUGGAGUACUUACUGGUAAAUAAUCAAUUGAAAGGAACAAAUCUAAGUGGUAUUUAAAAUUGUUUGCAAAUCAGUUGAUUACAUUUCAUAUUAGUUUGGUGCUGUAAGUUACAUAUACCUGUACAGAUAUACCUGUAAAACCCUGCAACUAUCUUAACUUUGUUGCCAUAGCGAUGUAGAAUAUGUGGUCUGUUUGUUUCUAUGCAACUGUAACAAGUUUAGUAUGUAAUAAGAGAUAUGACAUUGUAUAUACAUAGUUAUGAUGUGUGUACAAUAGAAUCAUGACAUUGUAUAUACAUAGUUAUGACGUGUGUACAAUAGAAACAUGACAUUGUAUAUACAUAGUUAUGGCGUGUAUACAAUAGAAUCAUGACAUUUUAUAUACUUAGUUAUGACGUGUAUACAAUAGAAUCAUGACAUUGUAUAUACAUAACUAUGACGUGUGUACAAUAGAAUCAUGACAUUGUAUAUACAUAGUUAUGACGUGUGUACAAUAGAAUCAUGACAUUGUAUAUACAUAGUUAUGACGUGUGUACAAUAGAAUCAUGACAUUGUAUAUACAUAGUUAUGACGUGUGUACAAUAGAAUCAUGACAUUGUAUAUACAUAGUUAUGACGUGUGUACAAUAGAAUCAUGACAUUGUAUAUACAUAGUUAUGACGUGUGUACAAUAGAAUCAUGACAUUGUAUAUACAUAGUUAUGACGUGUGUACAAUAGAAUCAUGACAUUGUAUAUACAUAGUUAUGACGUGUGUACAAUAGAAUCAUGACAUUGUAUAUACAUAGUUAUGACGUGUGUACAAUAGAAUCAUUUUGCUAUAGUUUUGAUAACACAUAUCUGUUUAAUUUCCGUAACUGCUGUUGUUAAUAUUGGAGAUUUAGUCAGGGUUGAUAUUCUAUUGCCAUUACUAUGCCAAAAUCUGGUGAACCGUUUGGAAUUGUAAACUACCGGUACUAUAUCUAGAUAUUACACCAUGGUUCGUAGUUACAACUAUAGGUGUAGUCUUCAAUGUCUAGAUCAUCCUUGUUUUAUGAUUAUUUCACAUCAUAAUAAAACAUAAAAUCAUGAUAAUCAUCAUUAUGAUAAUGUGAUCAUGUUAAUCCACCUUGUGAUACUGGAUGGUGCAGUGUAAUUUCCUCGUUGCUGCUGUUUCAAUACAAUAAUCACUUCUCGCUGUUUUAUUUGGCAUGAUUGUGAUGAUCGACGUUAAAGGUAAUGAAAUAUAUGUCAGCGACCAGGGCCCAUUUGUUUGAAACAUUGUUAACUCAACAGACCUUUGAUCCCCUCUUCAAAAUGUAUUAUUUUUCUGUCUAAAACUGUAAAAGUGUUUUUUAAUAAGGUUUAUUAAUUUUCAUUUCUUUGUCUUUAGAUGAUUAUUUCAUUUCAACAAAUUUUCUCAGACAAAAACAAUUGAAUAAAUGGAUUAGACAACAGGCUUAGCCUAUAUUAAUCUUCUCCUAACCGGUAUAGAUGGACAGAAAACAUAAAUUUAAUACAUACCGGUAGCUCAACAAGACACACUCAUACACUUACAAACAUAUAGGCUAGGGUACACUUACAAACAUAUAGACUAGAACAUACAACCAAGUUAUAAUUAUAAGAAGAAGAAACAAACAUUAUUUGAUGACAUUUGAUAACAAAAAAAAUACUUUUUAGCUUAUCAUAUAUAUGUUUGUACACUCAGACCACACUCCAUAACACACGCACACACAUAUAUAAAUACGCAUUCGCAAACACACACACACACACACAUGAUUUUUGGAAACUGGCAUAUGCAGUUUUCGCUAUAGAUUUGAAUUAUUAUGAAAAUAUUUGGGAUGGAUUGUUCUAAGUUUUAAGUCGUGUUAAGCUAACUUUGUUCUGAACAUCUGUGCCUUGAAAAAAAAAAAAGUGCUUUGUAAAUCAUGUAACUUCUUACUCGCUCAUCAACUUGCUAAUAAAAUUAAAAUAUGUAUACCAA
rnacentral:misc_RNA from 1 species